GUUUUCUCUCUCGAACAGGAUAUGUUCUAUAGGAUCGUACAACUGCAUCUUUAACAAUUAAAUAGGCAAGCAACAAACUCUGACUGAUGAUACGUGGCAUCUGGACUAAAGCGCGAUUAACGGUUCAAUUUCUCUUUGGAUUGGGCUGUGGAGGAUCGUUCUUCGUUGGUUCCACCGGCUAAGAUUGCCCUGAGGCUUUCUGACAGAUA